AGAGUUUGAUCAUGGCUCAGACGAACGCUGGCGGCAUGCCUAACACAUGCAAGUCGAACGAGACCUUCGGGUCUAGUGGCGCACGGGUGCGUAACGCGUGGGAAUCUGCCCUUGGGUUCGGAAUAACAGCGAGAAAUUGCUGCUAAUACCGGAUGAUGACGUAAGUCCAAAGAUUUAUCGCCCAAGGAUGAGCCCGCGUAGGAUUAGCUAGUUGGUGAGGUAAAGGCUCACCAAGGCGACGAUCCUUAGCUGGUCUGAGAGGAUGAUCAGCCACACUGGGACUGAGACACGGCCCAGACUCCUACGAGAGGCAGCAGUGGGGAAUAUUGGACAAUGGGCGAAAGCCUGAUCCAGCAAUGCCGCGUGAGUGAUGAAGGCCUUAGGUUGUAAAGCUCUUUUACCCGGGAUGAUAAUGACAGUACCGGGAGAAUAAGCUCCGGCUAACUCCGUG
rnacentral:rRNA from 1 species